GCAGACCCAAGGGAAACAAAUUUAAUUCAGCUGGGGUGACUUCCACUAAAAACAAAAGUGUUUUAAGGAGAACAGGUGCCUUACAGUAAGGGGGAUUGUUUGUGGGGUUUUCCCCAAACUUGCUGUGCUUCUAGGAGGUCUGUUCUAAAGCGGUGUGCCUGCGUUGCAGGACAGGAAGACCAGCGCAAGACCUUAUCGCAUGAGCUAGAAGCUGGAGGGAGCCUGGGCAGUGUUGUUUGGAUUCCUCAGCCUUAGGAAAGGUUGUUUCAUCAACCAGGGGCUCUGCUGGGGCAGCCCCGCAGCCGGUAAGGACGUCUGGCAUUGCACACCAUGAUACCUCCUUUAAUUUCGUCGCACCUGCGACAUCACAGCAGCCAGCAAACCUUCUUCCUCCUGUUGUCAACCCUCUUUCCAAAAUAAAUAAAUAAUUACUCCAGGUGAUACUCUC